rnacentral:rRNA from 1 species
UGGGGAAUAUUGCACAAUGGGCGAAAGCCUGAUGCAGCAACGCCGCGUGAGUGAUGAAGGUCUUCGGAUUGUAAAGCUCUGUCUUUUGGGACGAUAAUGACGGUACCAAAGGAGGAAGCCACGGCUAACUACGUGCCAGCAGCCGCGGUAAUACGUAGGUGGCGAGCGUUGUCCGGAUUUACUGGGCGUAAAGGGUGCGUAGGCGGAUGUUUAAGUGAGAUGUGAAAUACCCGGGCUUAACUUGGGUGCUGCAUUUCAAACUGGAUAUCUAGAGUGCAGGAGAGGAGAAUGGAAUUCCUAGUGUAGCGGUGAAAUGCGUAGAGAUUAGGAAGAACACCAGUGGCGAAGGCGAUUCUCUGGACUGUAACUGACGCUGAGGCACGAAAGCGUGGGUAGCAAACAGGAUUAGAUACCCUGGUAGUCCGCGCCGUAAACGAUGAGUACUAGGUGUAGGAGGUAUCGACCCCUUCUGUGCCGCAGUAAACACAUUAAGUACUCCGCCUGGGAAGUAC